CACAAAUGAAAUGACAAUACCAAGGUGCUGAAUGAGAGGUUGAGAUUUUGGUAGAGUCAAUUUCAAGGUCAGAAAUGUGCAUGAUCUUUGGCCAUUCUGGACCCACUCCAUUCUCCCUCUGGCAUCGUUUGGUCAGCAAUGGACAAUCCUUGAUAUGCAAAUGCUGGAGAGAUUCAGGAAGGCCAUCCUCUGGGAAGGAAUCAAUCAGGGGGCAAUCCUGGAUGUAAAGGUCCUUGAGUGAGGUAAGACUCUUCAGUAUGUCCUUAGGGACCAGGGAUUUCAGUCCAGCACAAGAAUUAAUGCUCAAACACUCAAGUGAAGAAGGUAGCCCUUCAGCUGGCAAUUUUACAAGCUUUGGACA
rnacentral:misc_RNA from 1 species